GAGGGUUUAACUGUCUCCUGUAGCCAAUCAAUGAAAUUGAUCUCACAGUACAAAUGCUGUGAUAUAACUAUAAGACGAGAAGACCCUGUGGAGCUUUAAACCUCCACAUUAACUAAUUACCCUCAAUUACGAUUAGUAUAACGUAAGUUUUAAGUUGGGGCGACUAUGGAGUAAAAAUUAACCUCCAAGUAAUACGAUUAAACCUCGUUACACACGGCUAACAAGCCUAGUCAAAACACACGACCCAGUCAAACUGACUAUCGAACCAAGUUACCCCAGGGAUAACAGCGCCAUCCCCUUAAAGAGUUCACAUCG
rnacentral:rRNA from 1 species